rnacentral:ribozyme from 1 species
GGGCACGCCGCGCACCUGUCCAGUCUCCUUCCGUCCUGUAUGCUGAUGAGCCUGAGAUCAAGUGGGAAGUGAAGACUGAGACAAUCGACCGUCUCACC